GUUGGCGUCGCUAGCAUCAACACCUGGUACCAGAACGGACUCACUCAGUUGAGGCUUCUACGGCACGUAUCCUCCGUCGUCUAUGCUGGCGGUACGGUAGAAUCCGCUGGUCGGUGGGAUAGCCCUGAAGACGCGGCUGUACGGGCUGCCGCUGACGAAGAUGCGACGAUGAGACGAUGAUGGCGAUGCGGGCGGUCAAUUCAGCCUCAACAUGCGUCGAAACGUGGUCGGCGGGACGAUUGGGCAUGUGCUGGUGGCUACCAAUUGCCCAAUAUCCAAAAUGUUAUAGGUAUAUUCAAAAUUCUUUCAGGUCUGUGUCCGUUCUCCGUCCUUGCUCGUCUCAUUCACCAGCAACAAUGCCGCCACCACCUCGCGUACCGCGUGGCUCUUUCAAAACCCUUUUGCAUCCGUUUAUUCCCAUCCUUCUCCUGCCGCCAUCUCCUACUCCCAUUUCCAGCAACCAUGGCCUGCUGCCGCAACAGCUGGCACUGUCACUUCCCGGUACCGCAAGGUGGCGCUGGUAACCGGUUGCGCCGAUAAAUGUAUGCUGGCGUUGCCAGAAACCGCGGCCGAUAAUUAGCCGAUGCAACACCAACGCAAAGGUGCGAGUGACGCCAUCCGGAAUGCUGCAACCUUUGCGCGCAUCAUCUCCGCCGUCGCGCGACUUCGGCUUUCGAUCCUUCCGACACGCCCAACGUAGGCCACACCCACUCUUCGCUCGCGCUUAGGAGCGCAAAUCUUUUGCGUGGAAAACUCCCAGAGGCCUUCCUUGCAGAUCUUCAACUUCGUACGCGUUGCUUCCAACGGCUCGGCCCACUCGCGACUUCAGGAACUUCCUCGCAAACUUCGCGUUGAACGCUUUGCUAAAGUCGCUGAGUACGAAGUUUCGGCGGUAGACUUCUUGGCCCGGGACAGCAUGGAACUUACGCGCUCGUUGGUCAAAGCGGGCUCUACUUCGCUCAUACGCGUUUCCUCGCCAAUUCAUAUUGGGACCCAUGCAACAUCAUGUGCUGCCCGAAGAGUGCAAAGAACGGCGUCUUUCCUGUCGCCGCGUGCACGCUGUUUCGAAUCGCCACCUCGAUUUCCGGCAGAUGCAAAUCCCCCUCUCUAUGAUCCUGUUCCAGGUAUGCUCUAAUGGCUGCCAAUACGGUGCGGUUGACCCGUUCCGAGGCGUUGCUCUGGGGCGAAUAUACCGGGGUCUUCAGAUGCUUGAUCCCGUACGCACCAAUCAUCUCCGCAAACGUCGCUGAAGUAAAUUGCCGCCCAUUGUCUGAAUGCAUCACCUCUGGCACUCCAAAUGUGUGAAAGACGUUGUUCACCAGAAAUUCCACCACAUUUCACGACGUAGCCUUCCUCAUCGCUUUCAAGAAGUUCUAGGGUAUUUCCCUAGGAAAUCAACAUAUAGCUUCUGGAAAGGCCGCCCUGUCACCACCUCAGCACCGAGACUGACCUGCAUUUUAAAAUUUGCCGCCUUGGUCUCUUUGCAGACUUGGCAGCCUCGCACAAACUCCGCGACUUGACACGCCAUCCUCGGCCAAUAGAAGUACCGCCGUAGAUUUUCCAGCGUCUUCGCAACUCCUCCGUGUCCCGCUGUUUCCUCGCAAUGGGCUCUCGUAAUCAGGGCUCCUGUUAACGCGCUGGGCACCCACAGCUUCCACUCGAUUCCGUCUAGCUGUGCCUCAAGGCGGUUGAAUGCGGUCCGUUUGUAAAUGACGCCGUCCACGACUUGCAAGUCAAUUCUCGGUAUUCCUCCGAUUCAAAUUCAGCCGUUUCCAUGCCUAGAAUUUCACCUGGAGCUAGCGCCAGUUCAUCCACCGCCUAUACUCUCGGCUCGAGCCGUCGUGUGUUUGGGCCCUGCUUGCGCUUUGCCUUGGCUCAGGCCUUUUCGGGACUGCUCCUCUGCUGACGUGAUCAGACACCUGCUGCUCGGCGCGCAAUUCAGGAGGCCUUUUCGAAUCUCCUCCUGCAACACCUGGCUUACUCCGUCCACCUGCGCAUGCCCAUAGGUUUGGUUGGCCUGUGCGAUGGCAACAUUUACCGCAGACGCCACUUCGC